CUCUUUUCAAGCCUUAAAAUUCUCUAUGUGCCUAGCCACUUCCACGCUCCUCCUCUGGCCCAUUAUUUUCUCUUUUCUUUCAGUACUCCCAUGACCCACUCCCCCCACAAUCAAUGCCUAUCCUUGGCUCAAAUCUCAUCUCGUUUCAGGUUUUCUCUGGGUUUUCCUUUCCUAUUGUUUCAUCUGGGUUUUUCUAGCUUUAGGUUUUCGGCCUUUUGGGAGAAUGGAGGAGUUCGCUGAAGGGUUUUUCGUUUCUUUUGGUGUAAGUUGAAUUUUCAUUGUUUUUUAAGGGUUUAUGAAGUUUGCUUUCGUGUUUUUUUAUUUUUAUUUUUUUUGAAUUUUUAUUUUAUCACCUCUAUCUAUUUUAUUAAGUCAUCCAUGUCGAUUUCUCAUGUCUAUUUGGUUGCUGAGAAAAUUGGGGGAAGUUUUUGGAUGAACUUUUGUCGAUCAUCUCUAUCUAUUUUAUUAAUUCAUCGAUGUCAAUUUCUCAUGUCGGAGAAAAUUGGGGGAAGUUUUUUUUCUCUUUUUUAUUAAGUCAUUAAUGUCAAUUUCUCAUGUCUGUUUGGUUGCCGAGAAAAUUGGGAGAAGGUUUUUUUCUCCAUUUUUUUAACCUUUUCAAACAAAAAGCAGUUUGUAGAUUGAGUUUAGAAGGGAAAUAAAACAUCAAAAACUUAAAAAUAAAAAUAUAACCUGGAAUAGCGCUGAAGAACACGUAUGCAACAAUAUGACAAAGUUGAGAGGCAGAAAAACAACUAUUGAUUAAUAUAAGUCCAUCAAACUCGGCCCAUUAUAUAUAAACUUAUCCAAACCCAACCAAUUGUUAAUUAAUAUAAAUUUUUAUAUAAGGCCCGUCAAGCCCAACUCAUGAUUUAUACAAAAUUAAUCUAAAACUUAUUCUUUU
rnacentral:lncRNA from 1 species